UACAGAGACUGCAAGCGUUAUUCGGAUUCACUGGGCGUAAAGGGUGCGCAGGCGGCCGUGUGUGUGAGGCGUGAAAGCCCGACGCUUAACGUCGGAAUUGCACCUCAAACUACAUGGCUAGAGCAUUGGAGAGGGUAGCGGAAUUCACGGUGUAGCAGUGAAAUGCGUAGAUAUCGUGAGGAACACCAGAGGCGAAGGCGGCUACCUGGACAAUUGCUGACGCUCAGGCACGAAAGCCGGGGGAGCAAACAGG
rnacentral:rRNA from 1 species